UCAACUGUCGACUGUGGCAUAGACGCCCACAGUGGUUUUGACGGGUAACGGGGAAUCAGGGUUCGAUUCCGGAGAGGGAGCCUUAAAAACGGCUACCACAUCUAAGGAAGGCAGCAGGCACGCAAAUUACCCAAUGACCGAAGGUCGAGGUAGUGACGAAAAAUAACGAUAGAGGACUCAUCCGAGGCCCUCUAAUUGGAAUGAGUACACUUUAAAACCGUCCCCGAGGAUCUAUUGGAGGGCAAGUCUGGUGCCAGCAGCCGCGGUAAUUCCAGCUCCAAUAGCGUAUAUUAAAGUUGUUGUGGUUAAAAAGCUCGUAGUUGGAUCUCAACAGCCUUGAAGCGGUUAACUUUGUAGUUUUACUGCUUUAUAGGCUGUGCUUUUGCUGGAGGUUUAGGGGUGCUCUUGAUCGAGUGUCUCUGGAUGCCAGCAGGUUUACUUUGAAAAAAUUAGAGUGCUCAAAGCAGGCUAAAAUGCCUGAAUAUUCGUGCAUGGAAUAAUAAAAUAAGAUGUCCAUCCUAUUUUGUUGGUUUUCGGGACUCGACAUAAUGAUAAAUAGGGACAGUCGGGGGCAUUUGUAUUCAAACGACAGAGGUGAAAUUCUUGGACCGUUUGAAGACAAACUACUGCGAAAGCAUUUGCCAAGAAUGUUUUCAUUAAUCAAGAACGAAAGUUAGAGGUUCGAAGGCGAUUAGAUACCGCCUUAGUUCUAACCAUAAACGAUGCCAGCUAGCGAUCUGCCUGCGUUUUUACUGUAGACUGGGCAGGAAGCUUCCGGGAAACCAAAGCAUUUGGGUUCCAGGGGAAGUAUGGUUGCAAAGCUGAAACUUAAAGGAAUUGACGGAAGGGCACCACCAGGAGUGGAGCCUGUGGCUUAAUUUGACUCAACACGGGAAAUCUCACCAGGCCCGGACACUGGAAGGAUUGACAGAUUGAUAGCUCUUUCUUGAUUCGGUGGGUGGUGGUGCAUGCCCGUUCUU
rnacentral:rRNA from 1 species